rnacentral:rRNA from 1 species
CCCUUAGAUGUUCUGGGCCGCACGCGCGCUACACUGAUGCAUUCAACAAGCCUAGCCUUGACCGAGAGGUCCGGGUAAUCUUUGAAACUGCAUCGUGAUGGGGCUAGAUUAUUGCAAUUAUUAAUCUUCAACGAGGAAUGCCUAGUAAGCGUGAUUCAUCAAAUCGCGUUGAUUACGUCCCUGCCCUUUGUACACACCGCCCGUCGCUCCUACCGAUUGAAUGGUCCGGUGAAAUCUCGGGACGGCGGCUUGGUCGCUUGCGUCCGACUGCUGAAACUUGAUUAAACCAUAUCAUUUAGAGGAAGGUGAAGUCGUAACA